rnacentral:rRNA from 1 species
AUUGAACGCUGGCGGCAUGCUUUACACAUGCAAGUCGGACGGCAGCACAGAGAAGCUUGCUUCUUGGGUGGCGAGUGGCGAACGGGUGAGUAACAUAUCGGAACGUACCGAGUAGUGGGGGAUAACUGGUCGAAAGAUCAGCUAAUACCGCAUACGUCUUGAGAGGGAAAGCAGGGGACCUUCGGGCCUUGCGCUAUUCGAGCGGCCGAUAUCUGAUUAGCUAGUUGGUGGGGUAAAGGCCUACCAAGGCGACGAUCAGUAGCGGGUCUGAGAGGAUGAUCCGCCACACUGGGACUGAGACACGGCCCAGACUCCUACGGGAGGCAGCAGUGGGGAAUUUUGGACAAUGGGCGCAAGCCUGAUCCAGCC